rnacentral:rRNA from 1 species
UACGUAGGGGGCUAGCGUUGUCCGGAAUCAUUGGGCGUAAAGCGCGUGUAGGCGGCCCGGUAAGUCCGCUGUGAAAGUCGGGGGCUCAACCCUCGAAAGCCGGUGGAAACUGUCGGGCUAGAGUACGGAAGAGGCGAGUGGAAUUCCUGGUGUAGCGGUGAAAUGCGCAGAUAUCAGGAGGAACACCAAUUGCGAAGGCAGCUCGCUGGGACGUUACUGACGCUGAGACGCGAAAGCGUGGGGAGCAAACAGG